AUGGAGCGCAGCGACUUGCUGUCCGUCUCCAGCAGCCUGUAGUCAAAGUAUGAGGUACUUUUGUUAAGCCAGUGGAUGAGACAGUCUCAAACCAGGCCAGAGCCAAAUGAGCACAAACACAGAGGGAACAUCUUCAAACCAGCCAAUCCAAAACGUACACACUGAGCCUCUUCCCCCUGAAGCUGUGUUCACGUUACCAAGAGCCAAGCACACAUGGUAUCGAGCCAACCAUUGAACAAAGUCUACCUUCUUCCACUCGAC